GUCUUCGUGGGGUAUGGAUCUUACUCCCAUUCCAUUGCAGUGUACUCAACAAGGAAUGUUGGGAGAGUCGGUGGUUCGAAUCCACCCAAAGACA